AUCACUUUAGGAUGGACCCGCGGUGCAUUAGUUUAGUUGGUGAGGUAAAGGCUCACCAAGACCGUGAUGCAUAGCCGACCUGAGAGGGUAAUCGGCCACACUGGGACUGAGACACGGCCCAGACUCCUACGGGAGGCAGCAGUAGGGAAUCUUCCACAAUGGACGAAAGUCUGAUGGAGCAACGCCGCGUGAGUGAAGAAGGUUUUCGGAUCGUAAAWCUCUGUUGUUGGAGAAGAACGUAUUUGAUAGUAACUGAUCAGGUAGUGACGGUAUCCAACCAGAAAGCCACGGCUAAYUWCGUGCCAGCAGCCGCGGUAAUAYGUAGGUGGCAAGCGUUGUCCGGAUUUAUUGGGCGUAAAGCGAGCGCAGGCGGUUUCUUAAGUCUGAUGUGAAAGCCUUCGGCUCAACCGAAGAAGUGCAUCGGAAACUGGGAAACUUGAGUGCAGAAGAGGACAGUGGAACUCCAUGUGUAGCGGUGAAAUGCGUAGAUAUAUGGAAGAACACCAGUGGCGAAGGCGGCUGUCUGGUCUGUAACUGACGCUGAGGCUCGAAAGCAUGGGUAGCAAACAGGAUUAGAUACCCUGGUAGUCCAUGCCGUAAACGAUGAGUGCUAGGUGUUGGAGGGUUUCCGCCCUUCAGUGCCGCAGCUAACGCAUUAAGCACUCCGCCUGGGGAGUACGACCGCAAGGUUGAAACUCAAAGGAAUUGACGGGGGCCCGCACAAGCGGUGGAGCAUGUGGUUUAAUUCGAAGCAACGCGAAGAACCUUACCAGGUCUUGACAUCCUUUGACCACUCUAGAGAUAGAGCUUUCCCUUCGGGGACAAAGUGACAGGUGGUGCAUGGUUGUCGUCAGCUCGUGUCGUGAGAUGUUGGGUUAAGUCCCGCAACGAGCGCAACCCUUAUUACUAGUUGCCAGCAUUUAGUUGGGCACUCUAGUGAGACUGCCGGUGACAAACCGGAGGAAGGUGGGGACGACGUCAAAUCAUCAUGCCCCUUAUGACCUGGGCUACACACGUGCUACAAUGGAUGGUACAACGAGUCGCGAGACCGCGAGGUUUAGCUAAUCUCUUAAAACCAUUCUCAGUUCGGAUUGUAGGCUGCAACUCGCCUACAUGAAGCCGGAAUCGCUAGUAAUCGCGGAUCAGCAUGCCGCGGUGAAUACGUUCCCGGGCCUUGUACACACCGCCCGUCACACCAUGAGAGUUUGUAACACCCAAAGCCGGUGAGGUAACCUUCGGGAGCCAGCCGUCUAA
rnacentral:rRNA from 1 species